UGGGUUUGACAUCACCCGAAAAGCUGUGGAGACAUGGUGUCCUUCGGGGCGGGUGACAGGUGGUGCAUGGCUGUCGUCAGCUCGUGUCGUGAGAUGUUGGGUUAAGUCCCGCAACGAGCGCAACCCUUGUCCCAUGUUGCCAGCGGGUUAUGCCGGGGACUCAUGGGAGACUGCCGGGGUCAACUCGGAGGAAGGUGGGGAUGACGUGUCGUUACCUUA
rnacentral:misc_RNA from 1 species